AGCAGCCGCGGUAAUUCCAGCUCCAAUAGCGUAUAUUAAAGUUGUUGCAGUUAAAAAGCUCGUAGUUGAAUUUCGAGACCGGCUUACUGGUCGUGCUAUUGUACGUACUGGUGUAAUCGGUUUCUCCUUUCUGACGAACUAUAAUGCCAUUAAUUUGGUGUUUUAGGGAAUCAGGACUGUUACUUUGAAAAAAUUAGAGUGUUUAAAGCAGGCUCACGCUUGAAUACAUUAGCAUGGAAUAACGGAAUAGGACGUUUGAUUCUAUUUUGUUGGUUUCUAGGAUCGACGUAAUGAUUAAUAGGGAUAGUUGGGGGCAUUAGUAUUCAAUUGUCAGAGGUGAAAUUCUUGGAUUUAUUGAAGACUAACUACUGCGAAAGCAUUUGCCAAGGAUGUUUUCAUUAAUCAAGAACGAAAGUUAGGGGAUCGAAGACGAUCAGAUACCGUCGUAGUCUUAACCAUAAACUAUGCCGACUAGGGAUCGGAUGAUGUUAAUUUUUAAUGACUCAUUCGGCGCCUUACG
rnacentral:rRNA from 1 species